UACAGAGGUCCCGAGCGUUAGGCGGAAUCACUGGGCUUAAAGCGUGUGUAGGUGGAUCGGUAAGUACCUUGUGAAAUCCCACAGCUUAACUGUGGAACUGCUUGGUAUACUGCCAGUCUUGAGCCAGCUAGGGGCUACCGGAACAAAUGGUGGAGCGGUGAAAUGCGUAGAUAUCAUUUGGAACGCCAAUGGUGAAAACAGGUAGCUGGGGCUGUGCUGACACUGAGACACGAAGCCAGGGGAGCGAACGGG
rnacentral:rRNA from 1 species